CCUACGGGAGGCAGCAGUGGGGAAUAUUGGGCAAUGGGCGCAAGCCUGACCCAGCAACGCCGCGUGAAGGAAGAAGGCUUUCGGGUUGUAAACUUCUUUUGACAGGGAAGAGUAGAAGACGGUACCUGUCGAAUAAGCCACGGCUAACUACGUGCCAGCAGCCGCGGUAAUACGUUGGUGGCAAGCGUUGUCCGGAUUUACUGGGUGUAAAGGGCGUGUAGCCGGGUUGACAAGUCAGAUGUGAAAUCCUUCGGCUUAACCGCAGAACUGCAUGUGAAACGGUUGAUCUUGAGUGCUGGAGAGGCAGACGGAAUUCCUAGUGUAGCGGUGAAAUGCGUAGAUAGUAGGAGGAACACCAGUGGCGAAGGCGGUCUGCUGGACAGCAACUGACGGUGAGGCGCGAAAGCGUGGGGAGCAAACAGGAGUAGAUACCCCAGUAGUC
rnacentral:rRNA from 1 species